UACAGAGGAGCCAAGCGUUGUCCGGAUUGACUGGGCGUAAAGCGCACGCCAGGCGGUUGCGCGCGUGGGGUGUGAAAUCUGGCCGCUUAACGGCCAGGCGCCAUCCCAUACGGCGCGACUGGAGUGAUGCAGAGGUCGAUGGAAUUGCCGGUGUAGUGGUGAAAUGCGUAGAGAUCGGGCAGGAACACCCAGGGGGGAAACCAGUCGACUCGGGCA
rnacentral:rRNA from 1 species